AACCUGGUUGAUCCUGCCAGUAGUCAUAUGCUUGUCUCAAAGACUAAGCCAUGCAUAUCUAAGUAUAAAUGCUAUACAAUGGAACUGCGAAUGGCUCAUUAAAACAGUUAUAGUUUAUUUGGUAAUCGAAUUUACAUGGAUAACCGUGGUAAUUCUAGAGCUAAUACAUGCUAUCAAGCCUGACUUCUUGAAUGGCCGUAUUUAUUAGAUAACAGACCAAUAUUCCUCGUGUCUAUUGUGGUGAAUCAUAGUAACUUUUCGGAUCGCAUGGGUUUUGCCCGCGACAAACCAUUCAAGUUUCUGCCCCAUCAGCUUUCGAUGGUAGUGUAUUGGACUACCAUGGCUUUCACGGGUAACGGAGGAUUAGGGUUCGAUUCCGGAGAGGGAGCCUGAGAAACGGCUACCACAUCUAAGGAAGGCAGCAGGCGCGUAAAAUUACCCCAAUUCUGACUCAGAGAGGUAGUGACAAAGAAAUAACCGGGUC
rnacentral:rRNA from 1 species